rnacentral:rRNA from 1 species
AUGGAAUAAAGGUAAAAAACAAGGAUCUGUUGCGGAGGAGCGGAGGGGGGGAUACAGAUAUAUGUCCCCAGUCCAAGCCACGUGAUGUAUUUGUUUCUUGGGUGCAAGCUACCCGGGACCCAGCGCCCCGGGCGGCCCGCCGGCGGACAAACCAAAACUCUUGUUAUCUUAGUUGAUUAUUUGAGCGUCUUAUUUAAUAAGUCAAAACUUUCAACAACGGAUCUCUUGGUUCUGGCAUCGAUGAAGAACGCAGCGAAAUGCGAUAAGUAAUGUGAAUUGCAGAAUUCAGUGAAUCAUCGAAUCUUUGAACGCACAUUGCGCCCAUUAGUAUUCUAGUGGGCAUGCCUGUUCGAGCGUCAUUUCAACCCCUAAGCACAGCUUACUGUUGGGACUCUACGGCCCCCGUAGUUCCCCAAAGCCAUUGGCGGAGUGGCAGUAGUCCUCUGAGCGUAGUAAUUCUUUAUCUCGCUUUUGUUAGGCGCUGCCCCCCCGGCCGUUAAACCCCCCAAUUAUCUGGUGACCUCG